AGCGUGCCUGUAGCAAAUGUGGAUAGAGCCUUCCCAAAUCUUCAUUCGCGAAGCCCAGCCAUGAAAUUGACUUUACCUGGAGUUGUAGUUGAAGUUCUUGUGAAAAUUAAAUUGGCUGGAGAAAAUGAGAGUGAGCACUUCGUGUGUCUGUGAGCACUAUGAAGGAUCAAACUGUUAUCUUUCCUACAUGGUACAGAGCUGUGCAUCUUGGCACUGAAAAGUUUAAGGUUUCAGGCAGUUUGUAAGCCUUUCCAAAACCCGAACCUGAACUGAGAAGGGACUGAAGUGUUUUUGAGGUUAUCUGGGCUGAAAAAAUACUGCAAAUUUGUGAUACUUCCCUGAGCAAGUAGGUCUGUUGUUACAGAAUGUCCAUAGAUAAGUCUGGGUAUUGCUUCCUUUAUUCAGAGAUUUAUUUUAUGUAAAAAUGCCUGUGAAUAUAUUUAAGGUAGGACUUAUUUCAAAAUGAUAAUUGGUGCACUCAUAUUCUUCUUCUAAAUUAAAUCCAUAUUCAAACAGUAAAAGAUUUAAAAUCUAAGUUAAAUCCUUUCAGCCAUUCUGGUAGCUUCUAAUUAGCCCAAGUUGAGAGACGUUUAACUGGAGAAUUCCAGAUCUUUUGUUAUAUAUUGUGCAAAGUCAAACUCUGGUAUGAUUAUUCUGUAGAGUUUUCUUACAUUUUCACUAACUCACCUCUUUUAAAGAUGGUUAGCAGAGGUAGAGAAGCUUUGAACAUUGUUAUGCUUUCUCUUUGCAUCUCUCAGUAAAGGGUACCAAAACAAUUAGCUCUAAAAUUCACAAAGAAAAGCUCUGUGAUGUUAGAACUGUCUGGGAUACCAUCCUUCAGGUAAAGCCCUUAAUACUACAUAUGAAAUUCUGAGCUCUUGAUCUGCUUUUUGAAAGCAAAACAAGCAAAACACUGUUUAAAUUUUCUACUUGUCAGUCCCCAAAUGUAAAAUGGUGAAGUCUUUAAAUAAGAGCAACUACUAACCUUUUGUCUAAGUAUUUCAUGAUUUUCCCACCAGGAUUAAAAAGCAUUUACUAGGAAAUGUUAAUUGCAAGUACCAGUAGAAAAAUAUUGGCAAUUUAGAAGGAAGUUACAGUAAAAGCUGUUUUAGAUGAUCAUGAGAAAAGUCUUUUUCCUUACAAGAAGUCACCUUUAGAGCAGACAGUGGGUGGUCUGAUAGACACCUGUGUGGAACUUGCUGCGCUUCCAUGCAUAGAGAAUGGAAAUCAUAUGAGGUAAAAUAAAGACAUAAGCAUUAGAAAGCUUUCUUUAUCCUUCUUUAAAUGGAACCUUAAAGAUUUCAAAAAGAGCUAACAAUUAUUUGAUAAAAAUAAAAUAGUUUUAAGUAAUUUAUGAGAAGUAAAAUUUAACGUCAGAUUUAACUAAUCCUGCAGUAUGGGUAAAGUUUGCCUGUGGAAAUCCAAAGUCUUUGGAUUUUGUUGCCUUAAGAGACCACAGAAAACAGGACUCUGAGCCAACUUAGUGUAUAAGAUAAAGAGAGUAGGUCCUUUAAUUCCAGGUCUGAGGCCCACAGGAAUACAUAUUGACGCACCUCUCGUGUCCAGGGGUUUCCACAAUUUAAGGUGUUAACUCAUCCAAUCCCAGAUUUGUCCUCCCCCCAGUACGCCCCUCUAGAAAUUGAGGCAGGGGCUCUGGACCCCCUUUUCCUCAACCUCCUCUUCAUCACAGCACAUACAGUCCUUGGAGUCCCUCCAAACUCCUGGGUUUGAAGGUUGCUCUGCCUGUGUGAUAUCUUGUUGUCCAGGCCAGUGUGCAGACAUACUUGAACAGAAUGAAGGCCUACCUUGAGGGAAGUCUAAACAAGCUAAUGGAAUUUUGAGCGAGUGAUAUGGAAUGGGGUAAAAGUAUUGGGAAAGCGUGUAAACUACUGUGCUAAAGGCUGAGGGACAUAAUACAGCUACUUCUAAAAUCUACAAAAAGCUAAAAAUCCAAAAAUCCAUAGGCAUCAGUCCCCCCUUUUAGAGGUUUGACAAAACUUCAAUCUUUUCUAGCCUCUACCACUUAUACUGAGAAAGUCUGAAGCAAGGAAAAGGUCCCCAUGGCCAAGGAGAAUCAGGUUAAAGGAACUGUUCACAUGGAAAACGGCUGGACCUGAUGGGAUGUUCCUAAGUGUGAAAAAUGUUCGGAAUUUGAAAAAAUGAUCCACCAUACUUCAGUCCACAUCAUCUACCCUGAUGCUAGGCGGAAGAAAAUUAAAAGCAUCAUCCCAGAAUAUAAGAAAAAAAUCUGGAAAAGAUACUGGUAAUCUAUCUAAAAAUUAAACAUUCUGCUCUUAGGUGCAAACUAAAAAUGAACUGGUAUAUUACAUAGGCUAAUUAAUUAGGUGAUUACAGUACCUGAAUUAUUUUAUCCCCAGGCUGCAGCAACUUAGAUGCCGGUCCGUCUGGCUGCACUCUCGUUACAAAUAUUCCCUUGAAAAAUAGAGGUGGAAAACAUUUUGACAGCUUAUUUAUGAAUAGCAGGACUAGCAUCAAACAGAUGUAAUUAAAAACAUUUUUUCAAUUUUUCAUCCUAAGUAGGAGAGAAUGCAAUUUUAUUCUACAGGUCUACUGUCUUUUGAGACUGCCUUCCUUUUCUGAUUUUAAAUCCAGGAGAAUUAUCUUUAAAGGGGUACUGAGGGGCAAAUUUUGAUUUGCUUUGGCUCAAUUUGGCAGAUGUAUAUGUCAAAAUGUAUAUGUCAGAUGUAUAUGUCAAAAUUAAUUAUCAACUACCAGAAAUAAAGCUGUAGGCUGUGGU